AAUCCAUGAUGAGGACACCUUCUCAAAAGAUCCUUAAAUCUCUCCCAUGCAUCAUAUAAUGUCUCAAAAUCAAUUUGAGCAAAAGAAGAGAUAUCAUUAAUCAACUU
rfam:Gossypium raimondii Chr08_contig_691, whole genome shotgun sequence.